GAUGAACGCUGGCGGCGUGCCUAAUACAUGCAAGUCGAGCGAACGGACGAGAAGCUUGCUUUUCUGAUGUUAGCGGCGGACGGGUGAGUAACACGUGGAUAACCUACCUAUAAGACUGGGAUAACUUCGGGAAACCGGAGCUAAUACCGGAUAAUAUUUUGAACCGCAUGGUUCAAAAGUGAAAGACGGUCUUGCUGUCACUUAUAGAUGGAUCCGCGCUGCAUUAGCUAGUUGGUAAGGUAACGGCUUACCAAGGCAACGAUGCAUAGCCGACCUGAGAGGGUGAUCGGCCACACUGGAACUGAGACACGGUCCAGACUCCUACGGGAGGCAGCAGUAGGGAAUCUUCCGCAAAGGGCGAGAGCCUGACGGAGCAACGCCGCGUGAGUGAUGAAGGUCUUCGGAUCGUAAAACUCUGUUAUUAGGGAAGAACAUAUGUGUAAGUAACUGUGCACAUCUUGACGGUACCUAAUCAGAAAGCCACGGCUAACUACGUG
rnacentral:rRNA from 1 species